AUGUGUUAAUGUGCUGUUAUAAUCUCAGAUUGGCCAAUUUCUUAAUAGUAGUAGUUGGUUUCCAGGCCACAUAUAGCCAUUUUAUUACAUGGUUAGAGAUGGCACUCCAGCUGUUUGCUACCCAACACGCUUAGCCAGUGGACCAUCUAAUCUCUUCACUGCCGCAGUGUAGUGAAAUUAAAGGAACAUUAUAGUAUUGGGCAUUAAAAAUUG